rnacentral:lncRNA from 1 species
CUACUAGUUCUUCUGUAGUCAUUAAGAACACAUCGUGCGCAUCGGCGUUGUAUAGCUUCUAAUUUGUUUAUGUUGUCCUUAGUAGAUGGAUACCAGAUGGUGCUAGAGUAUUCCAUGAGUGGUCUUACAAGCGUUUGAUAACAUAAUGCUUUUGUUUUACUAGGACAGCUUUUGAUGUUCCUUUGAAGAAAAGCUCGGGUGGAGGUAGCUUUCUUUGCGAUGUUGUCAAUGUGUUUGUUCCAACUCAAUGUUUUGUGUAUGGAGACGCCAAGAUAUUUAGCAGAGUCAACCUCUUCUAGGAUGUGGCCGUGGAUGUUAUAAUUUGCCGAGACUAUUUUCCGCUUUGUUGUUACUCUGAGGAGGUGGCAUUUUUGGGGGUGGAAUUUCAUCUGCCAGUCUGCCUCCCAUUGUUGAAGUCCAUCCAGGUCGUUUUGGAGGGUGUUCACAUCCGUUUCGCUUCUUAUCUGUCGGUAGUGAACGCAGUCGUCUGCGAAAAGUCUAACAUUUGAAGAUGACACAUACUCUGGGAGGUCAUUUAUAAAGAGAAGAAACAUAAGCGGGCCAAGCACACUACCUUGUGGGACUCCAGACUGUACUGGUGAGGUUUCUGAUGAUUCUCCUUCCAGGAGUACACAUUGCUGUCUGUCCUCCAGAAAGUUUCUCAGCCAUUUGAAUGUUGUUCCUCUAAUACCGUAAUGGUCGAUUUUGUACAGUAGUCGUUUAUGUGGGACUUUGUCAAAGGCCUUUGAAAAGUCUAAGAGAAUUAGAUCUACUUGCUCUUUAUUGUCGAUGUUUUUUGCUAGGUCUUGAAUCGUGAGGAUGAGUUGGGAUUCACACGACCGUUCGUUUCUAAAACCAUGUUGAGCAUCGGUCAGGAUGGAGUGGUUUUCAAGGUGUUUGAUGAUAUUGGUACAGAUGAUAUGCUCCAAUAGUUUACAUAGUAUUGCAGUUAGCGAGACAGGUCGGUAGUUUGAUGCUUGGCUACGGUCCCCUUUCUUAAAUAUUGGUACUACAUUUGUAUUUUUCCAGUCAGAUGGUAAUUUGCCUUGGUCUACUGAGGCUUGGAAAAAGGUGGUAAGUAUUGGCGAUAUUUCAGUAGCUAUUGAUUUCAAUAAUCUUGUAGAAAUUUCAUCUGGCCCUGAUGCUUUAUGUAUGUUGAGAUUUGAUAGUAGUUUGUGUAUUCCGUUUCCCCCAAUAGUGAUGUUUUCCAUGUGUGGGUACGGGUUCGUUUUCAUUUUCUUUAUGGUUGUCUUGUCUUCAUUGCUGUUAAAUACUGAAGAGAACUGAUUGUUGAGUAUAUUUGCCUUCAUUUUGUUAUCCGAAUAUGUGAGGCCAUCUGUGUUUCUAAGUGGUGCAACUCCUCCAUUUUCGCAUCUUUUAUU